CCCUGCACUCGAAAGUGAUUAUGGUGUGUUCCGUUACCUGAUCAUUGAUACUGCAGGAAAAGUAACCUGAACGCAUUUCCCGUGUUUGAAAAGUGUUUCCUAUGCUUAUCAAACCCUGUAGCGGUCAGACA